rnacentral:snoRNA from 1 species
ACGACCUAACGUGAACAAGAUCUGUUUUAUAGGCUCACAUUAAUUACCAUGUCCUUGAUUUCUAAAGAGACAAGAACAUAAAUUUGUUGGUGGAUGAAUUAUGACUAUGUGAUUAGAGCGUGAUUUAUAGCAGUUAUGUUGUAUAUAUGUUAUCCAUAAGUGAUUGUAGAAGACCAUUCUCAGCCAGGGGCGGUUCUAAGGCCCAACAAUCCUGGGCAGUUGCUCGGGAUCUGCCAAAAU